UGAACUGGGNGACUAGAGUGUGUCAGAGGGAGGUAGAAUUNCACGUGUAGCAGUGAAAUGCGUAGAGAUGUGGAGGAAUACCGAUGGCGAAGGCAGCCUCCUGGGAUAACACUGACGUUCAUGCCCGAAAGCGUGGGUAGCAAACAGGAUUAGAUACCCUGGUAGUCCACGCCCUAAACGAUGUCGAUUAGCUGUUGGGCAGCAUGACUGCUUAGUAGCGAAGCUAACGCGUGAAAUCGACCGCCUGGGGAGUACGGUCGCAAGAUUAAAACUCAAAGGAAUUGACGGGGACCCGCACAAGCGGUGGAUGAUGUGGAUUAAUUCGAUGCAACGCGAAGAACCUUACCUGGUCUUGACAUGUACGGAACCCUCCAGAGACGGAGGAGUGCCUUCGGGAGCCGUAACACAGGUGCUGCAUGGCUGUCGUCAGCUCGUGUCGUGAGAUGUUGGGUUAAGUCCCGCAACGAGCGCAACCCUUGUCAUUAGUUGCCAUCAUUAAGUUGGGCACUCUAAUGAGACUGCCGGUGACAAGCCGGAGGAAGGUGGGGAUGACGUCAAGUCCUCAUGGCCCUUAUGACCAGGGCUUCACACGUCAUACAAUGGUCGGUACAGAGGGUAGCCAAGCCGCGAGGCAGAGCCAAUCUCACAAAACCGAUCGUAGUCCGGAUUGCACUCUGCAACUCGAGUGCAUGAAGUCGGAAUCGCUAGUAAUCGCAGGUCAGCAUACUGCGGUGAAUACGUUCCCGGGUCUUGUACACANCGCCCGUCACACCAUGGGAGUGGGGGAUACCAG
rnacentral:rRNA from 1 species